rnacentral:rRNA from 1 species
UACGUAGGGAGCAAGCGUUGUUCGGAUUUACUGGGCGUAAAGGGCGCGUAGGCGGCGUGUCAAGUCAAUUGUGAAAUCUCCGGGCUUAACUCGGAACGGCCAAUUGAUACUGUCAUGCUAGAGUGCAGAAAGGGCAAUCGGAAUUCUUGGUGUAGCGGUGAAAUGCGUAGAUAUCAAGAGGAACACCUGAGGCGAAGGCGGGUUGCUAGGCUGACACUGACGCUGAGGCGCGAAAGCCAGGGGAGCAAACGGG